GCUCAUCUCUAACCCUUUAGGGAAAAGGUUUCAAGACUUGCAGUCCCCAGGAAGGGGAAAUCCCAGCUGGUGCCCUGGAGCAACGCUGGCGCUAGUGCCAACAAGUGGCGCGGACAGCUUUGGGACUCAGAUGGGGAAGAUUGACACGCGAGGGCAGACGGGCACUGCCUGUGGGCUGAGUGCUCGCCCCCUACCUCGGUGGCCAUAUUCCGGGGACGCUGACCGCUCUGAGCCUGCUGCGGGGCCGACCGAGGGAGGGCUGUCCGCGGUGCUGACUCGGGAAGCAGUAAGAGCGCCAGGAGCCGUGCACUCGCUACCGCGGCCUCCAGGGACUUCCAAACCCGGAGGAGAGAGAGGCAGGACGGUUCUGGGACAAGACACUCCAGCCUGCGGAGGCUGACGGUCCUCCAAGCUUUUGCAGGCCCCCAGGUUAGGAAGACAAAAGGAGACUGAGAAGAGUGGCUAGUGAAGCAGGAGGAGACCCAAGAGAGAGUGGUGUCCUGGAGCCAAGCAAGAAACCUGGUAACAGAACCUUACCAGCUGGGUUGAGUGCUGCUCACUUGUAGAAUAAGAUAAGGACUGAGAAAUGACCAUUGGACUCAGCAGCAAGAGGGUCACUGGUGACCUUGAUAAGAGCUGUUUUAGUGGAGUAUGGGGAGGAGAUCCUGAUUGAAGUGGGUUUGGGAAUUAGAAUGGAGGACAGGAAGUAGAGAUACUGAGAAUGUAAACAACUCUUUAGAAGUAUUUUGCUGCAAAGGGGAGCAAAGAGUAGCAUGGUGGCUUAAAGGAGAAGUGGGAGCAAGGGAGGCUCUUUUAAGAUGGGAGACAUUAGAGCUUGCUUGUUUGCUGAUAGGAAUAAUCCAGUAGAGAGAGAAACGUUGAUGGCUCAGAAAAGAGAGGGUUAAUCACAGAAGCAAGCCCUGGAGGGGUCAGCAGAGGAUGGGAUCCAAGGCAAAUGUGGAGGGGAUGGCUUUGGAGAGGAGCACAGACCAUUUUCUACCAUGGAUACAGUGGAAGAAGUAAUGAGUAAGGAGUAAACGGCCACAGAUGUGAGUAGGUUAGGAGGUUUUGCAGUAUAAGCAAAGAGCUGAGCUCUCUUCCUUACUCCACUUCAACUAGCCAGAGACGAUUCAUGCAUUAUGACCUUUCUCAACAAGUACAUUCAACCAUUAAGUAUGGAAAGCUUGCUAUGUGCCAAGCAUGGUGCUGGCACUUUCCUGUGUAGCCCAAAGACAGUUCUCUUUCCCAUUGAAAUUACAGCACUAGGACUCUACAGAGAACCUUGACAUCAUUCAGACAAGGAUGAACGAUCCCUGUUAAUAUCCAGCUCCUCUGACUGGAAAGAGACUUUAAUAGCCUCAGCCUUUUAUCACUACAUUACCUCCAGGCUUGUUAUAACAAUCUCAACAGACCUCAAGGCUUGGAGGCAUCAAAGUAGAGGCCAUGGAGAGAGAUCCAUAUUCGGAGUGGGGAGAGUUUCAUACUGUGCUGACUCAAGGCUGUGAUGGGAUGCUACGGAAUGGGAUGUUCCCACACUCCAGUCAUUGGGACUGUAACUCUGAGGCAGGAGAAGACGUUGAGGUUUAAUCUGACUAAUCAUUAUUACCCAGCUGCCUUGGGACAAACCAGUCCUAUGCAAGAGCCUAGGUCUUUGAUGUUUUUGUCAUAAAUUAAUGAGUUCGCCCACAAAAUAACAUCAAAGAAGAUCCACUAACUAAUUCACUGUUAU